GAGGGGGCGGGCGGCGGGGCGCUGUCCAGACCCAGUCCUGAAGUGGCGGCCGUCGGCGCACGCGGCGAGAUGUGGGGCUGGCCGGCGGCGGUAGCGGGCGCCGCAGGAGAGGCGGCGCCCCCCCGGGGCAGAGCGCGGCAGGCGGGCCGGGGGAGCGGCUCUCCCGGCUGCCACACUGGUGGCGCGGGGCGGCAGGGAUCCGACCCCCGGGAGGCCCCUCGCCCCGCGCCCGGGGGAGGAGCGGCAGGUGUCCUCUCGCCGCGUGCCCUGGCCCUCAGCGCCCCGGGAGCCAGCUGCAGCGCGACCGUUAACGCCAGAUAGCGCUCCGAUGGCGGGGUGGGAAACCUCCGAGGGCGGCGGGGCGUUGGGCGGCCUCCAAGCGAGGCGGGGCACCCCGCGGACAUCCGCCUCCCGCGGCCAGACCGGCGGCGCGGCGGGAGGGAGAGAAGCGCAGCGGGAGGGACGGGCGUCAGCCGCCGCCCGGUGCCCCUCGUCCUGCCGCGGCUGGGGAAGGAGCGGGGCCCGGAGGCCACAGUCAGGCGCGACCGGGCGGUGAGGACGAGGCGCACCGACAGCGGGGCCGUGGGACUGGGAGGAACCCAGCGUCCCCGGCGGCUGCCCCGGUGGCGCGAGUAACUCGCGGGUGACGGAGAUGGGGUCCUCGGGCCGCAGCGCCAUGGCCGGCGCCCCGCCUGCCCCGGUGAGUGCAGGCGGCCAGCUCCUCCGCAUCGCCGGAGGGAAAAACGGGGAGAAGUACCCGCGAGGUGUGGCCAGGGACAGAGGCUGUGGAAAGGAUCCAGACGUUUGGCUUCGCUCCCUGCAAAGGAGGCGUAAAGCACCUUCUCCUGCCUCUGCUUUUCCUCCUGCCUCCCUGAAAGCAGCAGAUUUAAGAAAGACCAGCUGAAUCGCCUGUAUCUUCAGGAUUAAACACUCAUAGGCACCUUCACCACAGUAGCAAUGACCAGCUCCUCCUGUGAGGUGUUCAGACAGUGGCAAUAAGGAGCUUUCUGGAUAUUUCGUAGUGUUGCCUGGGCUCUGAAUGGCUUGGAGAAAGUUUUCUAUUUGAAGGGUUUCUUUGGGAAGGUUUGUAGCAUUCAGCUAGGAGUACCAAAUUGCUUAUUGUCUAAAAGGUAAGACACUGAAUGUAAGAAAUCCAAGAUGUCAGACUACUUUUUAAUGUUUGCAUAUUUGGUGUUUAGCACAGUAUCAUUCACCUUUUGCCAAAACCUCUUAGUGAAAUCAGAAUGCUUUAAGUUGGAAGGAAUUGUGUUGCUUUAUCUCAGAGAAAGCAAGAUUCCCCUGCACCCAAACACUUGUAGUGAACAGGUUCUGGCUCCAUCCUUUUCCAAUUGAGAUUUGCUCUCCAACAUGAUGCAGUAUGUUUCAGACAGUACCUCUAUGAAUUUCCGCCUUGAGCUUUACUGAGAUAAACAAGUGAUGCACAAGUCUUGCAUACCUAUAGGAGAGGGAAGGUCUUUAAAAGCUUAUUUCUCUGAAGAGUGUAUGGUCUCAGAUCAUUAAAGAAGUGCUAACAGCUUGAACUUAAAGAACUUGCACUAGACUGGUAUCUGGGAAGUCAUGUAUUCUGUACUCAUAUCUUCCACUUUGUUCAUUAGCAAGGAAUGAUUACGCCUGGCAACAGUUAAGACUGCAUCAGAAUUUAUAGAGUUCCCCCAUCUCCAAAAGAUGUCCAAGCACAGUACAGAAUCAAAUUACAGAGUUACAUUUUAAAGUUCUAUCAUUCGUAUGAUUUUGUAUCAAAUGAACAUCACAUACAUCACUUGUACGCUAUCAAAGGUGUUGCACUGGAAUGUCCCCUAGGACAGGGAAGCAUUUGAAGUCUGUCUCUGGUGAAUGAGUAGAUACUUGCUUUACCUUUUUUUUUAUUGCUAAUAAAAAAAAGCACAAUAGGCAAAGGUUUUACCACUGUUCAUACAGUUCAGUGCACAUAAAGCAGUAAUGAAUGGAAAAUGUUUCUCAAAAUAUUUUUGAAGUCUUGCAAAAAGGAACGAGUCAUGAUUUUUAAGGCAGCACAAAAAAUGUCAACAAAUGCUCAAAACUUACAUUUUUUUGAUGGGGGGGAAGAAAUUGAAAGAGAAGUCCUGACAAGAUAAGUAAUUCAAUUCCUUUACUAAACUAGGACUGUAAUCCAACCUGAGGUGCUUUUGCAUUAAUUAUGAUAACUGACAGCUCAGUACUUUUGACAAAACACUCUUUUGAUUGUAAUCUUGUUCCAGGAAGCAUUAUAGGAAAGAUACAAGUGUCUUCCCAGCUUAGCAAUUAGAAACUGUGAAAAGAGGUCCCCUGGCAGGUGUAAGAAUGAAGCGUCUGUCUGUGCAUCACAGGUUUCCCACAUCUUUGCUGCAUUAGUACUUUUGGAAAAGCUGAUCUGCGUGUUUAGAAACAGCAGUUCACAUUUUCCUCCCAGAACCCAGUAACACGGACAUUACAUCACACCUUGCAUCAGAAGCACAACCAGAACUGCUGGUUCUCACCAUUCUCUUCUGGCUCAAGUGGUCCUGAAAUGACCUAGAAACAUGUUAAUAAGAAACAGGUUCGGCAGUGGGGGUGGGGGGGAGGGGCCGGGUAGCGUUACUCUCUUCAUCACACAGCAGAAUUUUUUACUAAAAAUUAGAAAAUUAAACCCAGGGUUUAUAAACCCCAACAAUAAAUCUUUGUAGUAGAGAGGAGUAUCAAGAGGUCUUUAUGCUGCAUAUGCUGAAGCAAGCUUUCUGCUCAUUUUUCAAAACAGAAAGAAAUUCCAAACAGAAGCCCCUGGUUUGGUUGACUAGCUAUAUAUCUGACAAAUUUAUAAUUGAAAUAAUUAGAACUGCUAGAUAUGAUGUCAUACUUAUUUUCUUCUGAUUAAUGGAGCUCAUACACUUAAUGGCCAGAAGCCUCAUUACUUCCAGACCAAAAGGGCAACAGGGAGUCUUCAGGAAAUUCACUGCAGAACAGAGUAAAAAGUAAUACCCUAAAAUAUCAACAGUAGAUCAAUGCUGAAAAACAGAUGCAGAAGGUAAAUGUUUUAUCGGAACCAGAAAAAAGUUUCUCUGCGUUAUUCUGGUAUCGAUCAAGGUGAUACUUACAGAUAUUCCUAAUGUUAAACAAAGCAAAAUAAUUUAAUCUCCAAGCAGGAUUCAGAAAGUGUCAGCAAGAUUUUCUUCUUGCUGAACUGGUAAAUUGCAAGUUGUCCAGCUUCCCUACACUUUCAGCAUGGAUCCUACAUUGUGUCAUCCUACCUCACAUUUUUUUUCUUGAUUGUGUUUACUCAGCUGACAGACAAACCCUUCCUCUAGCAGAGCAGCCAGCUUUCUUAGUUUUUCCCUCUCUGUAUUUCCUGUUGAUCCUCUUUUAGACAACAUAGAUUUCACAGGUGUCAGUGAAUAGCUGAUGAAAUUACAGGCAGCCUUGACAGACCGCUCAGAUCACUUACUGCUUCAUGUCCUGGUCCACUACACAUUCUGUUAAUUUGCUAGCACACUUUUUUUUCUCCUGGCUUACAAGGCUUAGGGCUUCUCUCCAAAAAGUUACAUCUCCUCUGUAAGGAGUUGUCUGUGUGGUAUGGGGUUGGUCUACCUCUAGAGUUAGCCUUGAAAGACAAGCAAAAUAUAAAGGGAUAAUCAUUUUAAUGAUGCUCCUUGGUAGCAUCAGUGGUCAGUGAUUAGGGAGAGGAAAUGAUAGCCAAGGAAGGCUUAUUUAGGUGACAAAACAUUGUAGCUCUGUUGAAUUUAGUGGAAGAUAUAGAGAGGAUUUAAGGAGAAACUUCCAGUAUUAAAAGCUGUGAAACAUAGCUCUAGAAACACUUGCUCUGUGUUAUGUUCUACAAUACAUUUUUAAAGUAAAUUUUGUAUAAUAUAGAGGGUAGUGAAGAAGUAGUCAAAAUACAAUUGCAGUGUUCCAACAACAACAAAAAAGCCCCACAGGAAGAAAGGUAUGGAGAAGGUAAGCUGGUAGUGGCAGAAGUUAGAGACAGCUUCUAUCCCAGCUUGCAAUACUGCUAAACACUCUUGGAUCACAUUUAAAACAGUAAUUUGGGAAGUGAGACUUAUUUACAUGACUCAAUACAAAAAUGUUGUGACAAAAUGCCCUUGCAGCUGCCACCUAGCCUUGAAGAAAUAUCUGGUUGAAUAACAGCCAUCUCUUGCAGUAGCAAGCCGUUAAUUCUUUCAUUUGCCCCCUCCUACCUGCAAGUGGCAGAAUGGCUUUCCUGGGGUGCAGGGUCUCUCUCCAGAAGGGGACACAUAUGGUCACAGAAAGUGCAUUUCCCUGCCCAGUACACUAUUGUGGGCCCAUGUGAGGCCAGAAGUUCAGAGGUUCCUUGACUGAAAUCUGUGUAUUUGUGUUUUAUAUAAUCGCCUUACCAUACUUCAGCAGCUGGAACAGAAGAUUUGGUGUUUUGUUUGCUUCAAGAAAUUGUGUGGUGGAGGUGAGUUGCUGUCAUUUGAAAUAAUGUGGGUUUGGUUGAAGCUGAUUCCUCAAAAGAAAAAAUAAAAAAAAUUGAUAACAUUUACUUACCAGAUGCCAGCAAAAAUGCCUUGGUUUGAACAAAUACUGUAACUACUAAUUUAGUUAAAACUAUCCAAUUGUGAAAAUAUACUGUCAUGAAUAAAAAUAUAUAGACAUGAAAUGCAUUGCUUUUUUUGUUUGAAAAAAAAUUGGCUACAGUAAAGAGCAACUGAAGUUUGAAAAUGUACUUCCAAGAAGAAACAUGUUCAUUUCCAUAAAACAUAUUGGUGUGUAAAUAUACAGUAUGUAUCAAUUCCAGAGCAAUAUUAUGAAUUCAGUGAAACUUUGUUCCGUUAGUAAGAUGAACAUUAUAAAUUUGAUAUUUUGCUGGCUUUUGGAGAAGAAACAUCAUCAAUGCAAUGCCAAUGCAAAGUGAACCAAGGUCAAACCAAACUGGUAUCAUUCUAAUUGAAUAGUCCCUAACGUGGACUUUGAGUUUGUGAAAAUAAUUAUAACAAUUACCAAUGGUAAGUGGAAGCAGAAUUAUUCAUAACCUGAUAUCUCAUCCAUAUAAUUUGUGGAUUGAAGACACAGAAAAAUUGGUGCUGGUAACCUGAUUCUCCAUACAUACUAGAUUCUCCAUACAUACUAGUCAGUUUCUCCUACUCCUAAGUGUUUGAUAAUUUGCAAAAGUGUGUGCUUUCCUAUAUUUUCUAACCAACUAAGAAGCAACCACUUGAAGAAAUUUUUAAAGUACUUACCCCAAACCGCCUCUUAGACCUUUAUUUACUUACCAUAUAAGUAUAUAUAAUGUACAUUACAAUUUGCCAUGAAAACAUAUUGCAUGGAAUUAGAGACUAAUUGUGCUUUAAAUAUUCUUGGAUGAACAGGUUUACAUACAGUUUAGAAUACAAUCUAGCUAACAUAUCUGAAAUAUAUAUUCAUCCAAUUAUUUAUUGUUUUGUUAUUUCUGAUGCUUUGUAAUUCUUAAUUGUUUUGUGUUUGAUUCCUUAUGCACAGAUUAUGCAAUGUGUUGAAAGAAAACCUCUCUUGCAUCCAGCUGAGGAGACAAAGAAAUAUUAAAAAACUCAAUAAGAAGGAAGCUGUUCAUUCUGCAGAACAUAAUGUCAUCCAUUUUACUUUCUUAAAGCAUCUUUGAUUAUUGACACCAGUACAAAUACAAUUAUUUUCUCACACAUUUUGGUGAUUUAAAAGGAGACUCUAAACAUUUAGACUCAACUUUUUUCUUUUUUUUCUUUAUACUAAGGUUUUCACAUUAGUGCAUCCUUAAUUAAAAUGUUUUCAAAUACAAGUCAAAAUAUUUUAGCUGAUCCAGAGUAAGACUCAAAUAAUUGAACAAAUACAUUGUUUUGCCUGUGCUAAAGAUUCCUACAAUAUUUGUUCGAGCAAAUGCAUACUUUAGAAAAGGGGUUUAAGACUUGAUAGGGCCUUUCUGUUGAGAGUAUUUCUUUUGCUGUCUCUGUGAAAAAUCAACUCAAGGCAUAAGUCACAGGGAAAUAAAAAAAUGCUCACAAUUGACUUAAUAGAUCAUAGCCUUUAAAAUUUCUACAUGUUCUAUCUUUAUUCAACAUGCUCCUAAGAGUUAGAUGAUCUAGCAAUGAAAUACAGCCUUCCAGCCAGACUGGAUUACUAUUGCUCUUUCUAGCAAGGAGAAUGACAUUGCAAUCUUCUCAGGUGGUGUAAGGUUACCACAAUUAGAAGCAGAAUUAGUAGACUUUAUGUAGCUUGUGUAUAAACAGUUCUAAUGCCAUGAUUGUCCUCACUGAAGACGUACUCAGUUGUGUCACGGCAUGCACACCAAAACUCUCCUUAACAAGAAAUGAGGGAAUGUGAGAACUUGUGUACUCCAAUUUUUGCCCUGACAUUCAGUUGGGAUGCUGAGAGCAUUAAUAAGCCUUAAUGGUCCUGACCAGUCUCACCUGGGGUCUCUACCUUGAGCCAUGGGCCCAGAAGUUCUAUUUAAGCCAAGUUGUGUUAGAAGGGUAUAGGUCUGUAGUUUUGUCUUUACCUGGUCAUGGAACAGUUUAAUUCAGAUUUCAGUCAAUGGUUUGAUCUUAGCAUGUCUCAUUUUAUGAACCUGCCUAGUGAUCACUAGAUCUGAUUCUAAUCUUGACCUGCAGAUUCACUUCACAGUGUGAUCUCUGGCCUACUUCAUUACUAUUAUAUUGCCCUAUGAUCUGGAUUUCUGGCUGGACUUUACUAUAACCUCUAGGUCUGUCCUUGCUUGAGUACUAUGGGACUAGGCUGUGGCUGUUGAGGCCUCUGUCCUGAUGGGCUGGGCAUCUCUGUGUUCUUGGCUCACCUUUAUCAGGGAGCAGCCUCACUCUUGUUUUCCCUAACAGAUGUGGUCUGGGAGAACACAGUACCUAACAAGUGGGAAAUAGAUCCAGGUCAUUGGUUUCAGAGAUUAGUGUUGUCUUUUAAUCUGCUGACACUAGGUAGAAUCAAAAGAAUGUCAUCUGGCCCAAAAUAAAAGGAGGAGAAAAAGAUAAGAGAGGAAGGUAAAAUGUAUUCAGAUAAAUGUUUUUGGAGACAAGUUCUAGAAAAAGAACAAGUGUGAUGGAAGGUCAGGGUAAAAAUAGGACUAGAUGUUGAAUGGAUGAAAAGGGCUGGAAUAAAGCUGAGGCUGAAAUCUGGGGCAAGGUAAAUUGUUGUUAAGGAAAAGCAAAGCAAUGGAAACAUGUUUUUGAGACUCCAGGAGGAAAGGAGUGUGUAAUCAUCCAGUCAAAGAGUUUAGGAUCAACAGAAGAUGAUUUGGGAAAGAAGAAGUGUAAGAUAAAUCUGAAAACAGAGUAGGGCUUCAAAGAGGAACUGAGAAUCCUUGAGCACAGAAACUGGACCAAGGAGCCGCUGGAUGGGGAGUGUGAGACAAGACUAGAUAAGAGGUAAAAAAGGAAAACUGAGUGGUGAUGAAGAACAAUUAAAGAAAGUCUGGCAAUAAAAACUGAUGAGAACCGAAAAAAAACCCCACAAACCAACCAACAACAAAACAAAACAACAGCAAAAAAAAACCCACACCACAAAACCCCAAACAAACAAAAACCAACCAAAAAAACAACAACAAAAAAACCCCAAACACAAACAAACAAACAAACAAAAAAAACCUAACAAAACUGUAAAGCAGGGAAAAAGAAAAUCAAGGCUUAAGUGGUACAACUGGCACAGCAUGAGCUCUGAGAAGACAGAGGAAUGGAAAGAAGAAUGAUGAAAGUAGCCACUGGUAGGUGAGACAGGACUAGGAGAGUAACAAAACUUUAGGUUCUAAGAAAAAAAAAAAGGAAUGUCUGUACCCAAAUUACGAGAUAGGGCUUGAAAUUCAAUGUAUCUCACUUCCAUAAUGUAUCUACUUUUAGUAAAUAUGUGAGUCAUGAUAAAAUAUAUAUGAGAUUACUUUCUCCACUAGGUAAUAGUAAUUUACUGUACUACACCCUAACUGAUGAGCUCAAACAAAAGGUGUAAGGUGGAUUUAAAGACUCUAAGCCUUCUGUAUGGGUAUCAAUGUGAUAACAUUUUUUUCCUUCAUUCACUUUAAUAAAUUUGAGGGAAGUACAUGCAUGUACUGUAUGUAAACAUCUUACAGUUAUGAGAUGUUCAUAAUAAAACAAAUGAACUUGUUGGUCAUGCAAUUUUUAUUUUUAUUUUUUUUUAUUUUAUAUGGCGAAGUAGAACUACAUGAUAGACCUUCUGUCUUCUUCUGUGCCUUGUCCAUCUGUCGUCCUGUUCUACCCCUCCUCUGCAGAACAGAGAGCCUUUGUCUCAUCCAGCUGAAGGAGUAGCUCUAGGGAUGAUUCGUGGUUUUGGGGAGAAGGAAGAGGUUGAUAGAUCAAAUCUCAAAUUCAUUAGCUGAAAAAAAUUGGAAAAUGUAUAAUCAAUACGGCAGAGGACUGAAAGAAGAGAAAAAGAUCGAUUAAUUGAAUGAUACCUUUGAGAAUUAUAUUAUGUUUUACUAUGCCACAGAGUUCCUCUGUGAUGUUAGGUUACAAUAACUAUUUAUUAUAUAGAAAGUAAGUUGAUGAGAAAAAAUAAGAAACAUUGUUCAGUUCAUGCACUCCAUUUGGGCACUUGCUACAUGAGUAAUAUGAAAGGUGUAUUUGAGCGUACUUCAGUUCUGCAGAAGAAAUUUUACAGCUUCAUGAUUGUUCAAGUACUUGGUUUCUGUCCCUGCAGCUUGAAGCAGAUGAGCCUAAUUGUGAUGUGAUUUAUGCGCGUAUGUUUGCAGAAGGAAGUGAGUGGUGUGUUAUUUAAUACAGAAAAUUCAGAGGGAUUUCAUUACCAAAAAUUCUUAUGCAACUAGUCAGAAAACCAAGGUAAUCAUGCAGAUGACUAUUACUGAGCAUUUCAAACUUUUCAAUGUAAGAUAGUUAUAGCAAUGGCAAUUUGAACAAUGAACCUUUCCUCCAUACCCAUCAGGAGGUCAGUGAGUACAGUCACUGUCUUGAAUUUCCUUUAUAACUGCCUGGCACAAUACAGUAGCAGAUUAAAACCAAAAUCUCAGUUGUUUUGAGAUGACCCUAAAGUCACUGUAAAUAGAGGCACUAGAAUAAUCUGCAACAACUGCUAAACAACUAUAUUUUCCUGUGGCUGAUAAGUCCAGUUUUCUUCGCAAGCUUAGGCAUGUUCAUAAAUUUUAUGGCCAUCACUGCAGUAUAUUUACCAAAGUAUAACUUUUGAUCUCAAGUUUUAUGGAAGUUUUCACAUCCAGCAGUUUUACAUGGUUUAAUAUGAAUACAUCAUUUGUUAAUCUGUUACACUUAGAACACUACCAAAAUGAGAAAGACAAAGGAGUUUCCAGGGUUUUUAACUUGACCUUAUGAGAUCUAUGCUUGCUAGAAUGUUUUGGCCUGGUUUACUGCAGAGAUUUUAGGGAAAUGUUUGCUGCGUGUGGUUUGCAGUUCAUAUUGUUUAAGGAAUCUCUUUAACCCGUCUAACCUGUGACUGUUGGACUCAAUCACUCCUUUGAGAGGUUAGACAGUCUAAUUGGAUUAAAAUAUGUGAGAUCUUCAUGAUGAUCAUUUUGACAGUAUUCUGAUAAGGGGCCCAGUCAACACAUUGCAAGUUCGAGUGACUGAUACUGUGCAUUUAUCAGUAUUACAUAAACUAACAUAUAAAGUCAGCUUAGCUGAAAUCUGGUUGUUAUCUUUAGUCAUUCACUGUUGGUUACAGUCAUGAGUAAGGCUGAAGUUUUACAGUUUUUAUUAUGGCAUAUGAUACAGGAAUCAAGUGUCUGACACUCUGAAUUGUGCCAAUACAAGUGUUUUGUUUGUCAUCAUAGACCAUAAGUUGCACUUUCAAAUAUGAUCAUUAAAUGGCACUUUCUCAGUCUUCGUUUUCA